UACGGAGGGUGCGAGCGUUAAUCGGAAUUACUGGGCGUAAAGCGCACGUAGGCGGUCAGGCAAGUCGGGUGUGAAAGCCCUGGGCUCAACCUGGGAAUUGCAUUCGAAACUAUCUGACUCGAGUAUGGGAGAGGGAAGCGGAAUUUCCGGUGUAGCGGUGGAAUGCGUAGAGAUCCCCAAGAACACCAGUUGCGAAGGCGGCUGACUGGACACAUAUUGACGCUGAGGCUCGAAAGCAUGGGGAGCAAACAGG
rnacentral:rRNA from 1 species